CAGGUAGGUGGUCUUAUUUGUCUGGGGUGAAAUCCUUGAGCUUAACUCAAGAAGUGCCCCAGAAACGGUGAGACUAGAGUUCUGGAGAGGGUCGUGGAAUUCCCGGUGUAGCGGUGAAAUGCGUAGAGAUCGGGAGGAACACCAGAGGCGAAAGCGGCGACCUGGACAGAUACUGACACUCAACUGCGAAAGCGUGGGGAGCAAACA
rnacentral:rRNA from 1 species